rnacentral:rRNA from 1 species
CCGGCGCACGGGUGAGUAACGCGUAUGCAACUUACCUAUCAGGAGGGGGAUAACCGGCGAAAGUCGGACUAAUACCGCAUGAAGCAGGGGCCCCGCAUGGGGAUAUUUGCUAAAGAUUCAUCGCUGAUAGAUAGGCAUGCGUUCCAUUAGGCAGUUGGCGGGGUAACGGCCCACCAAACCGACGAUGGAUAGGGGUUCUGAGAGGAAGGUCCCCCACAUUGGUACUGAGACACGGACCAA